rnacentral:lncRNA from 1 species
UAUAUCCUCAUUUUAAAAUGGAAAUUCUUUGACUACUUGCUGCAUUUCUUUGUAGCAAUGAAUUCUCUGCAGCUCUUCCUGUGGGCAGAGAGCAGGAGGAGACGGUCUCCACUCAGCCUUGCUAUGGAUGAGAGCAUUAGAGACUAAAGAACAGAUCUCAAAUCCUGCACAUCACGUAGACCACUCCCUUGAUUGUCAUCACUUACUCUAUUGCAAGCUUUGUAACAUGAUGGAACCAAAGAAAUCUCUCUUCUACCAGACAGUAAGAACCUAGGUUGCUGGGACAACAUGUCAACUGCAAAAAAACCCCUUAAAAUAAAGGUGGCUCAUUUCCAAG